UACGAAGGGGGGCUAGCGUUGUUCGGAAUUACUGGGCGUAAAGCGCACGUAGGCGGACAUUUAAGUCAGGGGGUGAAAUCCCAGAGCUCAACUCUGGAACUGCCUUUGAUACUGGGUGUCUUGAGUAUGGAAGAGGUGAGUGGAAUUCCGAGUGUAGAGGUGAAAUUCGUAGAUAUUCGGAGGAACACCAGUGGCGAAGGCGGCUGCACUGGUCCGAU
rnacentral:rRNA from 1 species